GCUUCCACUAUUUGUUUAUAUUAAUUUUAACUGCAAAAUAAAUCUAAAAUAAUGAGAAAAAAAAAGCAAAGGAGAAUAUAACAAGGGCGUUUUAUUAGGGUUACCUCUCAUCUAUAGGAUUCAUUUCCAAACGAAAAAACAAACAAACCUCGAUUGAAAACUAUGAUGACUCGAUUACUUCUAUGACGUUCUGUCGUAUCUGUGAUCGUUUGCUCUGGUCUGCAGCACUGCUCUCCGCGUUCUAGUGUAACCGGAGGGAGGAGACCGUGUGUUCAGAAAGGCGCUAUGGCUGAAUAAUAUCUGCGUACAAGAUGUGUGGCUCUUCAGCGGCACCAGUUUGAGGAACAUUACCCUCUAACAGGGUUUAAACACGAGGAUUGGAUUGAACAUCAGAAUACAUCCCUUCACAUUGAGAGUUGUAGACGUCUCAGAAAACAAUAUCCUGAUUGGAAUGCAGAGAAAGUUUCCCUUACAAGAACUCCUAGCCCCAAACACCACCAUGGAUCAUCCAG